CCUACGGGUGGCAGCAGUGAGGAAUAUUGGUCAAUGGGCGCGAGCCUGAACCAGCCAAGUCGCGUGAGGGAUGACGGUCCUACGGAUUGUAAACCUCUUUUGCCGGGGAGCAAGCGUGCGUUCGUGAACGCACGUCGAGAGUACCCGGAGAAAAAGCAUCGGCUAACUCCGUGCCAGCAGCCGCGGUAAUACGGAGGAUGCGAGCGUUAUCCGGAUUUAUUGGGUUUAAAGGGUGCGUAGGCGGGAUGCCAAGUCAGCGGUAAAAAUGCGGUGCUCAACGCCGUCGAGCCGUUGAAACUGGCGUUCUUGAGUGGGCGAGAAGUAUGCGGAAUGCGUGGUGUAGCGGUGAAAUGCGUAGAUAUUAGGAGGAACACCAGUGGCGAAGGCGGCUUACUGGACUGUAACUGACGUUGAGGCUCGAAAGCGUGGGGAGCAAACAGGAUUAGAUACCCCAGUAGUC
rnacentral:rRNA from 1 species